rnacentral:lncRNA from 1 species
CUAGGAGUUGAUUCUUUGUGGUAAACCUGAUGACAUAAUUAUAUUUCUACGAGCACUGGUUUAAGUUCAACAAUUGAUUAUGAAUUGAUGAUAUGUUCAUCGGUUUAAGUUUCGUAAAUGAUUAUGAUCUUUAUGGUAUGGGAACUUGUUCAAAUGAGCCAAUUGAGAGUUGUUUAUGAUAUGAUAUGUUGUGGAUAUAUUUUUGGUCAUGGCAGGACAAUUCAUAGAUUAUGGUUAUUCAAUUAUUUACUUCCCUUGAUUGUAUCCUCAAGGAUUAUAGGGG